rnacentral:rRNA from 1 species
UACAGAGGUCCCAAGCGUUGUUCGGAUUCACUGGGCGUAAAGGGUGCGUAGGUGGCCAGGUAAGUUUGGUGUGAAAGCUCGGAGCUUAACUCCGAAAGUCAUUGAAUACUAUCUGGCUGGAGGGUCGGAGGGGAGACUGGAAUUCUCGGUGUAGCAGUGAAAUGCGCAGAUAUCAGGAGGAACACCGGUGGCGAAGGCGGGUCUCUGGGCCGAUACUGACGCUGAGGAGCGAAAGCGUGGGGAGCGAACAGG